rnacentral:lncRNA from 10 species
AAACACAAAGAGCCGCGCGGCCACGACGGCCGCGUGCCCGGAGCGCCGGGGUCUUUCCUGGGCUCCAAAGUCAAGAGCUCACGUUCCGGGAGGAUCUGUCCGCGGAAAUUCGGUUCUGAGCGUCGCCGGACUCCGCCGCGGGGAGGCGGGCCCGGAAGUUCCCCUCCCGGGCGCUCCCCAGAGAGCUGAAGACUGGGCGCGUGCCGGCGGCAAAUGUUCACAGCAAAGGGCGGCCCAGUGCGCAGCUGGAACAUCAGCCCCAGGCGGUCGCUGCGACAGGGACGAGCCUGGGAAACGUGAAAAUGUCCAGAACAGGGAAUCCACAGAUAAAGAAAAGACAUCGUGGUUGCCAGAGCUCGCGGGAGGGGGCAACAGGGACCGACUGCUUAACGUGUAUGGUUCCCCUUCAGGGUGAGGACGUGUUCUGGGACGAGGUCGAGGUCAGGGUUGCAGGACAAGAUGAAAGCGCUAAAUGCCACUGAAUUGUUUGCUUUAACGUCAUUAAUUUUGUUAUGUGAAUUUCAUCUCAAUAGAAUAAAUAGGUCAAGCUGGCU